ACGGGUGAGUAACACGUGAGCAACCUGCCCUGGACUCUGGGAUAAGCGCUGGAAACGGUGUCUAAUACUGGAUAUGAGACGUGAUCGCAUGGUCGUGUUUGGAAAGAUUUUUCGGUCUGGGAUGGGCUCGCGGCCUAUCAGCUUGUUGGUGAGGUAAUGGCUCACCAAGGCGUCGACGGGUAGCCGGCCUGAGAGGGUGACCGGCCACACUGGGACUGAGACACGGCCCAGACUCCUACGGGAGGCAGCAGUGGGGAAUAUUGCACAAUGGGCGAAAGCCUGAUGCAGCAACGCCGCGUGAGGGAUGACGGCCUUCGGGUUGUAAACCUCUUUUAGCAGGGAAGAAGCGAAAGUGACGGUACCUGCAGAAAAAGCGCCGGCUAACUACGUGCCAGCAGCCGCGGUAAUACGUAGGGCGCAAGCGUUAUCCGGAAUUAUUGGGCGUAAAGAGCUCGUAGGCGGUUUGUCGCGUCUGCUGUGAAAUCCCGAGGCUCAACCUCGGGCCUGCAGUGGGUACGGGCAGACUAGAGUGCGGUAGGGGAGAUUGGAAUUCCUGGUGUAGCGGGUGGAAUGCGCAGA
rnacentral:rRNA from 1 species